rnacentral:ncRNA from 1 species
CACAAAGGCUUAGUCCUGACUUUACUGUCAGCUCUGGCUAAACUUAUACAUGCAAGUAUCCGCACCCCUGUGAGAAUGCCCUCGCCCGUUUCCCACCCGGAAACAAGGAGCAGGUAUCAGGCACGGCACGAGCCAGCCCACAACACCUUGCUUAGCCACACCCCCAAGGGCUUGCAGCAGUGAUAAAUAUUAAGCAAUGAGUGAAAACUUGACUUAGUUAAAGCUUAGAGGGCCGGUAAAACUCGUGCCAGCCACCGCGGUUAUACGAGAGGCCCAAGUUGACAGUUAGCGGCGUAAAGAGUGGUUAAGGAAAUUUUUAAACUAAAGCCAAACAUCCUCAAAGCUGUCAUACGCUCCCGAGUUAAGAAGCCCGAAAACGAAAGUAGCUUUAAUUUACCCGACCCCACGAAAGCUGUGGAACAAACUGGGAUUCGAUACCCCACUAUGCUCAGCCGUAAAAUUUGAUAGGUCACCACGCCCCCUAUCCGCCAGGGUACUACGAGCGCCAGCUUAAAACCCAAAGGACUUGGCGGUGCCUUACGUCCAUCUAGAGGAGCCUGUUCUGUAACCGAUAAUCCUCGUUCAACCUCACCCCCCCUUGCAAAAUCAGCCUAUAUACCGCCGUCGUCAGCUCACCCUGUGAAGGAUCAAAAGUGAGCAAAAUUGGUAUGACCCAGAACGUCAGGUCGAGGUGUAGCUCACGGGAGGGGAAGUAAUGGGCUACACUUCCUAAAACAGGAGACACGAACAAUGAACUGAAACAAACAUUUGAAGGUGGAUUUAGCAGUAAGUAGAAACCAUCAUGUUCUGCUGAAAUUCUAUGGCACUUAGGCACGUACAUAUCGCCCGUCACCCUCCCCAAGCUAAAAACAAAUGCUACCUAAAAAAUUCAGACUGCAAAGGGGAGGCAAGUCGUAACAUGGUAAGCGUACCGGAAGGUGCGCUUG